ensembl:lncRNA
GUAUGGGGAGACUUCUGUACAUUGUAAUGCACUAGACAGAUGCUGCUGUUGUUCCCAUAACAGUAUUUGAUAACUCACUAGCCAAGUUCAACUCUAUCUGUGUUCUGAGAAAAGUACAGAAAGGACAUCAAAAGGAGACAGAGACAACAGCACUAGAUGCUUGGGAGAUUAUGAAGAUUAUAUUUCUCUGUGCCAGUAAAUUAAUUCUUAAUGGAGAGCUCCCGAGGAGCGACACCAGCUAAAGCUGAGAGGCCAACCAUAGCACUUUCCAAAGAGAAAGUCAUUUUCUUCAGAUCAAGUCUGAACUUUUCUAGGCGUGGUUCAUUAGAUAGUUGAGCCUCAAAGAAAUCCAGUACCGCUGUAAAGCUGUCAUUUGUCUCAAAAGAAAAAAAAUUUCAACUUCUUUUUCUGUCAGCAACAUAAGCACUCUGCAACUCCACAAAAUGCAGUGGCUUUUACAGAAUAUUCUUGUCCUAAACCAGAUGAUAAGCAAAGAAUGUCACUGCUAGAGUUAGACUGCCCUUAAUUCCAAUCCACUGAGAACUUGUAUGACUGUGGACAUGCUGUUCACCCUCUUAGGUAAAUAUUAAUGGAUGAGUGAAUGAAUCACCGAAUUAAAACUUCACAUACAUGGUUCUCUAGAAUGGUAAAUUAUGCAUGAACUCCUUUCUGUCUUUGGAACAACCUUUCUCUCUCCUGGUAUAUCCAGAAAAGUUCUACUCGUCCUGAGUAACGUCCACUGUGAAGUUCUCUCUUCUCCCCAACAAGGAAAGGUGAAGAGUGGAGCAGAAGGAUAAUGUUUAGAACCAGAAAGACCCAAUUUCAAAUCCAGUUACUUAUCCUCUAGAUCAUGGGCAAAUUACCUUCUCCAAGACUCAGUUUUCUCACCUAUACAAUUUACCCUACAAGACUGAUGCACGAAUUAGAGUAAAUGUAUGUAAAACAUCCAUCAUUGCAUUUCUCUGAGUUGUUACACAAUGUUAAAUACCUUUCUAAGCUAGUAACU